GGUGGUCAAAUGUGUGGGAAUAAAAUGUGAGUUCGAAGUGCCUUCCCAGGACUCAGUAUGGCUCAUUUUCCUCCUUGCCAUGAGCUGCAUGUCCCCAUGAUUCGGGGCAGCCCGCCUAGGUGCCUGUUCCUGGCUAUCAGAAGAGCACAGUGAAGUCCUCCUGCCCCUGAGAAGAUCGAAGACUCUGCUGUGGUCAAGGUUCCUUCUCCAGCCAUAUGUGUUGUCUAGGAUUAGACUUUUCAAACAGUGGCCAGGCCUUCUGAGGUCACAUGUAGCAGUAAAAGCAAGCUGUGGCUAACUUUUCC
rnacentral:lncRNA from 1 species